rnacentral:rRNA from 2 species
CACAGAGUUAGCCGGUGCUUCCUUUGCAGGUACCGUCAAUGCUUGCCUUUAUUAGAGACAAACACCCUCGUUCCUGCCGACAGAGCUUUACGACCCGAAGGCCUUCAUCACUCACGCGGCGUUGCUGCGUCAGGGUUUCCCCCAUUGCGCAAUAUUCCCCA